AUUGAACGCUGGCGGCAGGCCUAACACAUGCAAGUCGAGCGGAGCGGCGGACGGGUGAGUAAUGCCUAGGAAUCUGCCUGGUAGUGGGGGAUAACGUCCGGAAACGGGCGCUAAUACCGCAUACUCUUAGCUGAGGCUAGGUCGGAUUAGCUAGUUGGUGGGGUAAAGGCUUACCAAGGCGACGAUCCGUAACUGGUCUGAGAGGAUGAUCAGUCACACUGGAACUGAGACACGGUCCAGACUCCUACGGGAGGCAGCAGUGGGGAAUAUUGCACAAUGGGCGAAAGCCUGAUGCAGCCAUGCCGCGUGUGUGAAGAAGGUCUUCGGGUUGUAAAGCACUUUAAGUUGGGAGGCGUUACCAGCAGAAUAAGCACCGGCUAACUUCGUGCCAGCAGCCGCGGUAAUAC
rnacentral:rRNA from 1 species